GACAAUGUUGUUAUUCUACUGAGAACUCAACAAUUAUGUGUUCUCAGCAUCCUCUGAAAAGCAAGAAUCUGUGCAUUUACCACAGUUCAUUGCAAAGGGAAACUUCUUUGAUUAAGGACAGGCAUGCCAUUUGUCUUUUAGUGAGUGUGUGUGUGUGUGUGUGUGUGUGUGUGUGUGUGUGUGUGCACGUGCACAUGCAUGUGCAUGUGCAUGCUUAAAAAGCAGCUUGACUCCAUAUCACUUUAAUGAAAUAAUUGUAGUAAAGUUCCCUGUGUAACCUAAGACCUGAGUGAUAUGGUCCUUCUAUGAAGCAGGUUUCAAGUCCAGUCAGGGAGUACUUGGUUACCACCGUAUCCGUCAUACCGUUACUGUACCACAUGGGUGCAUCUUAACAGGCAGAUUCAUAGGGGUCACAGAUGGUAAAAGAGCUGUCUUCUCUUUCUCAGGAGCUGGCAGAGCAGCCUUCCUCCGCACUAUGAAAGACAUCCAACAGAGAGCAAGUUCCCACCUCACUUCCAGCUUGACUCCUUUUUAUCUCCUAACUGUGGUCUGUGAUGUCUUCAGCAAUGGUAUUAACUAGUUCUGGGUACCUGGAGGCACAGCAGCCAUGUUGAACCUAUGAGGUGAUGAAAAACCAUGCAACUAGAAACCAGAAUGGAAGAAAAGAAGAAGCUGGAUCCUUGACUGAAUUGUCGAUGGGGGAUAGUCCAUCAUCCCAGGGCUAAGACCACCUCCAGAUUUCUUGUUUGGUGAAACAAGUCCUGAUUGUUUACAUUCCCUCGUGUUGAGCUGUCUCUUGCUUGUAGCUGAAAGCAUUUCUAAUAGAUAUUCAGAUUAUCAGCCUUAGCUCCAAGCUAGAAUACUCUAUGGGACCUUAGCUUCUCCAUGAAUUCCUUUGCUCAUCUGUGUAAUGCUCAAUAAAUGUAAAUUGAACCCUGAAUGAGGGACAAUGACACUAUUGAAGUCAUGAUUGUCAAUCUUAUUAACGGACUAACUACUUAACAAAAAGGUUGGAACACUGCCUGACGCACAGUAAGCGGCUGGGGAAAGGGUUUGCCAAAUGGAGUGACAAGAAAACAGUCAUGUUUAUAGGCUUUCUUUUACAUCUUGAUCCAUCUUCAAGCCUCUGUGGUCUUUAAGCAGAACCUUGACCCCUUCAGUACUGGGGCUCCUGGAGCAUGACACGCCCCCUAAACUCUUGUCUCAAAACACCCACUCUAGCAGUUUCUUUUUGACAAAAAAAAAGCCUUCUUAGUGAAUGCUGGCUUGUGAAAAAGAAGGGGCUGUGAUCAUCAAAUCGUGUUAGUAGAUGACCAAAAUACCCAAAGCAAUUCAUGCAAAUAGAUUCAAGUCUCUCUGGGCAAGCCUUCCUGAAGGCUCUAGAAUUUCUGAAGCUCAUUUUUGAAAGGGUCUUUCCAUAUGGUGGCCUUUUUCUUUUUUGCACCUCCUCCCUUCUUUCUCAUCAGAGCUAAAGGGAUGCUCAGACUCUCUGUCCUUUCUGUGUAGUGAGGGACCAGGCUGCUGGGCGAGUGUGAAGGAGCGAGUGUGAUUUGGGAUAUUCUUUUCUGGUAUGGCAAUGGCCAGCCUUUAGAGAGGUCAUUUGAAGUUGGCCAACAAGUAGACAUUAUUUCAAAAUAGUUCUUGAUCAUUAAAGAACCAACCAGUAUGUCUUAAAAACAAACAAACCAAUCUUUUGGAAAGUUUCUGCUGAAUGUGUGCCCUUCCGACUCACUUCUUAUCCUUUCUGUCAGAAACACCCCAGAAAAGGGGGUCUUGCCUUUGAACCACUCUGCUACUUUAAUCUUCCUGCUUCUGUCUGACCUACCUUCCUUCUUUCAGUAGCCAGGAUCCUUUCAGAGUGAGCUCCAAAAGGUGGGGAUUCUCCAGCCACGAGUGCCCUCUGAAAUUCUAUCUUACUUAGAAUAAAAUAUCUAGAUUUAUACAGUGUCCCCUUGUAUGGGUGGUGGCUUUUUUUUUUUUUCUAUCAUUUUCCUGCUUGUUCACACCACUCUCUCCCUGGCCUUCUUAUGUCACAGAUUUCCUGAGUACACUCUGGCCUCAGUCUUUCCAUGAAGUAACUCUCCUUUCUAGAACAUUCUUGCCUGCAUAACUAUCUGCUUCUGUCCUCACUGUAUUCUGAUCUGUAUUUCUAUGUCAAUUUCCAGACAGGCAUUCUCUGCCCAUCCUCUAAAGUGUGCCCCCUGUCUUCUUUGCUGUUACCUGUAUGCCCUAAGUCUAAGUCACUGACCUUAUUGUAGACUAAAUUUGUUAGCAUUUCUUUCCAGGAUGCAAGCCUAGUGAUGAAGGAGUCAUUGUUCCAUUGUCAGAAUAGCUACAGAAUCCAGCCUGUUCUGCCCUGGAUGCUUUAUUAAGUAAUGAAGCUCAAUAAAACAAUUUGACCAAGUUUUAAGCGUGAUUUUUUUUAGAACCUUUGAAAUGGGCCUUGAGACGACUUCUUGAAGAGUUCUGGAUAUGCUCUCAACACAAGGACCAGAGAUGAAGAAAUGUUUGGAAAUGAGUACAUUGGUGAUGCUGUGGAGGUGAUUGAAUGAACCUUGCACUCAUUAUCUUUGAGCAGUCUUAGUCUAAGCAGCAUUCUCUUCUAUGGGGGUUUAUGGACAGAAUGGCUUGGCAUUUAUGGGCUUUCUAUUGGAACACAGGAGUUCUGUCUUUUCCUUGAAAUAUGUGCAGACUGGUGACUGUUGUAUGCAGCUCCUGCCUUGUGUUCUUGGAGUAGAAGCACCAGGAGAACAUGGUGAGGGUGAUGCUGAAGAGCCACUCUUAACCUAGCUAUGGCCUUGGAUUAGCUCCCUGCCAGCGAUGGUCAUCUUGACUAUUUAGGCCUUUGGCAUUUCUGUAUGACCACAAUCUAAGUGACAUGUGAGUACCAGGGCAUGGGAAAUCCCCAGUGAGAACCACCCCACCAAGUCCUUCCCAGAUUCCUGACCAAAAUCAUGACAAGCAGUACGAAAUGACUGGUGUUUUAAAACACCAAGUUCUGCCAUAAUUUGUACUCGGCAAUGAAAUGCAGUCCCCACUGUAAUUCUCCUGCACACUAGGCAACUGGGC
rnacentral:lncRNA from 1 species